CUAGGCCCUGGCGGGCCUCACUCGCCGGCAUUUGCCGGCCUGGCCGCCGCUUGUGCGGAGCUCUGUGGCCGUGGCUGCGGAAGCAGUUACCCUACUCUGGUUUUCCUGCCUUCCUCUUCAUCGGUGAGACACAAGGCUGGACCAGGGCUCCCAGGGAAAAUCUCUACUAUUAAGGAAGACAACAUAGGACUAGGACCUUCCCAUGGACCCUUCUGAGGACAUUCCAACAACACAAGCAAGAGUGUUCUCCUAAGACACAAAGGGCCUACAAAC
rnacentral:lncRNA from 1 species